UACGGAGGGUGCAAACGUUGCUCGGAAUCAUUGGGCGUAAAGCGCACGUAGGCGGCUCGUUAAGUCGGGUGUGAAAGCCCCAGGCUCAACCUGGGAAGUGCACUCGAAACUGGCGAGCUUGAAUAUGGAAGAGGGUCGCGGAAUUCCCGGUGUAGAGGUGAAAUUCGUAGAUAUCGGGAGGAACACCAGUGGCGAAGGCGGCUCACUGGCCCGGUACUGACGCUGAGGUGCGAAAGCGUGGGGAGCAAACAGG
rnacentral:rRNA from 1 species